rnacentral:rRNA from 1 species
UACGUAGGGGGCAAGCGUUGUCCGGAAUUAUUGGGCGUAAAGAGCGCGUAGGCGGUCCGGUAAGUCAGCUGUGAAAGUCAAGGGCUCAACCCUUGAAAGCCGGUUGAUACUGUCGGGCUAGAGUCCGGAAGAGGCGAGUGGAAUUCCCGGUGUAGCGGUGAAAUGCGCAGAUAUCGGGAGGAACACCUAUGGCGAAGGCAGCUCGCUGGGACGUUACUGACGCUGAGACGAGACGUGGGGAGCAAACAGG